GCCAGGGUUAAAGGAACAGUGUGGUGGAAGCAGUGCUGGUGGCACAGGUAAUUGAGCGUGAUGGGAGUGAAAUCUAAUGGUUGCAGUGAUGCUGAGCCUAUGAGGGUAAUGAAAGGUUACGGAUAUGGCUGAAGGAGUUCAAAUUAAUGGUGAAAAAUGAUAACUGUAAGUGCCUCAAUGAUUUGGCUAAAUUAUGCCUUGCAGUUCCCUAAAUUAUAAAUAUAUGUGGUUGUCAAGUCAUUUGUGUCUCAGUAAAACAUAUAAUCAUUUAAAACACACAUAAUUCAAAUACUGUAUUUCUUUGAGAGGGCUCAUUUUCUUGUUGAGUCAUUCGCCCUCUAGGUGGGGACUGUAAGAAAUUGAUAUUCCAAACUGCAAUAUUGUAUAUAACUUUCUGUGUAUGUGACUGGUUUCACAAGUUGGGGUCAUUUCCUUGAUAACAGUGGGAUAAGGAUCAAAGCUUUCAGUUGCAUUUUACAACACCCAGCUAAAACAAAAGCUUACAUCCCUCCAGUAUUC